rnacentral:rRNA from 1 species
UACGGGGGGGGCAAGCGUUGUUCGGAAUUACUGGGCGUAAAGGGCUCGUAGGUGGCCAACUAAGUCAGACGUGAAAUCCCUCGGCUUAACCGGGGAACUGCGUCUGAUACUGGAUGGCUAGAGAUUGGGAGAGGGAUGCGGAAUUCCAGGUGUAGCGGUGAAAUGCGUAGAUAUCUGGAGGAACACCGGUGGCGAAGGCGGCAUCCUGGACCGGCAUUGACGCUGAUGAGCGAAAGCCAGGGGAGCAAACGGG